UACAGAGGCCUCGAGCGUUAGGCGGAAUCACUGGGCUUAAAGCGUGUGUAGGCGGACUUCUAAGUACCUUGUGAAAUCCCACGGCUUACCCGUGGAACGGCUGGGUAUACUGGGAGUCUUGAGCCACCUAGGGGCGAGCGGAACAGACGGUGGAGCGGUGAAAUGCGUAGAUAUCGUCUGGAACGCCGAAGGUGAAAACAGCUCGCUGGGGCUGCGCUGACGCUGAGACACGAAAGCCAGGGGAGCGAACGGG
rnacentral:rRNA from 1 species